rnacentral:rRNA from 1 species
UACGGGGGGGCAAGCGUUGUUCGGAAUUACUGGGCGUAAAGGGCUCGUAGGCGGCCAACUAAGUCAGACGUGAAAUCCCACGGCUCAACCGUGGAACGGCUGGGUAUACUGCCUGUCUUGAGCCAGCUAGGGGCGACCGGAACAGACGGUGGAGCGGUGAAAUGCGUAGAUAUCGUCUGGAACGCCAAAGGUGAAAACAGGUCGCUGGGGCUGAGCUGACGCUGAGACACGAAAGCCAGGGAGCGAACGGG